rnacentral:lncRNA from 1 species
GCACUGUCCUCCCAACCUCAGCCUACAGUUGUACUCCUGGAUGAGAUCUCUGGGAAAGCCAGUGUCCUCAGCAUUGCCUGAUCCUUUAUGCUGCCUUUUCCAUUGCCAUGCUGAGGUGCAGAAGCCUUCUGGGAUCAUGCUGCCCUCCUGCAAGACGAGUGGUUUCACCUCUCCAGUUGGAUGGAGCUGAUGGUCCAGUUGCCAGCUGGCAGGUAUGCCAGUGGGAAGGAACAAUUCUACCCAGCUUGAAGAGUACAGGGCACUUCUGUGAACAAAGUGCAGCGAUGUACAGCCAGUUGUGUGCUCCUCAGAGCUGUCCUGUUCUCCCAUGUCCUUCUGAUAAAGGUGGGAUGUAGUGGGCUAUGGUAAGUACUGCUGGAGCUGUGGGUGUUUGUAAAGGGUAAUGCAUCUCUAACAGGUACUGUCAGACUCUAGCCUAAAAAAGUUUAUGGGAUUGCCUUUGAAGCUGAUUGCAUUUGCCACAUUCAGCCUGCUUUCUUUUUCACUCCUGUCAGAUCCUGAGGGACUGUGCUUUCCCUGAAGCUGGCUGUCAAUGAGAGGUGCCAAAACAGGAAGUAAUGAAAGUGUACUCAUCCUAUCUCACAUGUGAGGCAGAGGAGUGUACAGCAGCAGGAGAUGAUGGCAAGUAUUAAAUCCUUUACGGAAGAUGCUUAGGGAAGUGGUAAGGCCCUUUUGCAAGCAGCUGAGUGCCUUAGCAGAGCCCCACUAACAUGCCUGCUCUCACUGUGCAGGGGCUGUGAGCAUGCUCUUGGGUUGCUUUUGUAUUUGUCAACAAAAAAAAAUUUAAAAAGAAAAAAGAGAAAAUUGCAUUGAACUUUGUGCCACUGGCAGCAUCCAGAAGUUGUUUGAAAAUUGAUGGGAGAUUAUUUCCAGCAGCCCACAGGAACAUCGUAAUCUGGGUCAGCUGCUGGGAUGUUUGCCAUGAAAGCAUGGCGCUAUGUUUUUAGAAGAGGAAAAAUCUAUGUCUUUUUAAUCUCCUUUGCUGCUGCACAUGUAGCAGUUUCAGCCCUGAAUCCACAGUUCGUGAAUUCAAAUGUCUGAUGCUAUGAGCAGAGCAUGUGGCCUUCAGUGAGAACAAAUGUUUUUAACGUUCC